ACCGCGACCACCCCAUCUCCAUCAGCUGUUUGUGUGCAGCCUCUCUCCCUCUGCAGCGAACUCUUUCUCUGUCGCUCUCCGUUCAACAGCCCCCCGGCAAUUGCUUGAACUCUUGUACGAACGUCUACCUGACCGCGCGCGCCACCUCUCUCCACCGCCCCACAUGCAAUCAUCAAACUCCCCAAACACACUCACACACACCGAGACACACUCAUAGAGUCAGCGCUCUUAGAGCUUGUCGGUCUUUCCGUCCGUCGGACAGGUAUUUGUGCGCUCGAAAAAAACUUUUACUUUAAAAACAAUCCGUCCGUGCACGCUUCUGGUACGCGCGCGCGAUCGCGAAGAGAUCCAUCCUGUCCGUAGACCACCAUGUGCCAAAGUUGACGUUUCGGCUCGUGCGCGACCUACUUUUGUCGAGGGUGUCAACGGGAAGCUCGCGUCAACGCGCGUUCGCAGACGAUUUGUCUAGGCUUCAAUCGACGACAUCGCCGGUAAACAAACUCUGCUGAUAAGUGAAAGGUUCAGAUUAAUUCCCGAACAAAGGAAGCAAAACCCUAGUGAUUAAGUGGAAUCGCUCGAAAAAGUGUGGUCAUUGUUCGAGUUAUCACAACCCGAGUGUGUACAGAAAACGUCGAACUUGCGCCGAACCGCUCGACGCAAACAGCUGAUUUGAGUAGUGAAAGUGCACCACAGUCAAAUUCAAGGACCGCAGCUCUUCAACGGGCUUUGGACUGGUUCGCCAAGUUUCGAGCGAAGAAAAAAAAAACCCGCUGCAAGUUGCAACAAGUUGCCACCGCAGGUCACCCCCAGAGGCCACCGUAAUUUGCCAGCGAACCUUGUGACACCCCCACAUGCUCAAGGGGUCUUACCCAGAGAGAUUCCAGUUCCGAGAAGACCAAGUUAUCCAGCAGACCCUAACCAUGGCGGAACUGCUCUGCUUCUACAUCCUGUGCCCUUGGUUGCUGUUUGUGAUCUACAUGGUGGUCGCCAUGAACGGCCUCAUAUGAGGCGGCCGCAGGUCGCAACCGCGGCCAAUUAAUGCC